GCCAGUGCCAAGCCGGCCAGAGGGUGAGCGUGCAGGUCAGAAGACCCACCACAGAGAUUUGGCUCCUACUGCCGGAUGCUGAGCAGGGGCAUUUUGAAGAUGCCCACUUAAAGUCAUGUCUGGGGUGGGGUGCUGUAGGAUAUGGAAAUCUUCACAGCCACCAGGCUAUGGGGUGUCCAGACAGCUGAUCAACACAAUUUCUGGUGUGCCUGUGAGUGUGUCUCUGGAAGAUGUGAGCAUUCAAAUCUAGACUACCUGAUCUAGAUUCCCCCACCACAGUAGGGAAAGCCUUCACUCAACUUUUUGAGGGUCCAGACAGAACAGAAAGGCAGAAGAAAGGAAACUCUUCUCUGCUGAAGCAGGGAUGUCCAUCUACUGCCCCCAGACAUCACAGCUCCUGGUUCUAGGGGCACUGGACACAGACUGAGUCAUACUACCAGCUCCUCCAGGUCUGAGCUUGCAGACAGCAGACUGCAGGAUUUGUCAGCCUCCAUAACUGAGUGAGCCAAUUUCCAUAAUAAAUCCCAUCUUCUGUGUC